CCGCUUGUUCGCUCACUCUCAGUGAAAAGAGUUUUGAAAUGAGUUCUGAAUAGACAGCAUUUUCUUUGUGCGGUUGGUAAAUAACACAGAGCAAAGUUAGCAAGUUGCAGCGCCUCUGCGUUCUGAUUCUAUGGAACCUUUUUGUAGGGAGAAGGGCAGGAUGUUUUUAACUGAAUGUGACCUCACGGGAAUACUAGAGAAAAUAAUAAAAUUUCUGAAUGGGGCAGCGUGGAGAAAUCCUAAGAGAAAUAGCAUAAGAGCAUUUUGGAACACAUCCAGGAAAAGAUAACUUUCUACACACCUGUAGACGUUCGCCAGGUAAAGGAGUGAUGGAAACUCUCCAGUUCAGAUCCAGUAACUUUUAGGGAAG